rnacentral:rRNA from 1 species
GGACUCAGGUGGUCAGGUAGAGAAUACCAAGGCGAUCGGGUGAACUGUGGUUAAGGAACUCGGCAAAUUGCCCCCGUAACUUCGGGAGAAGGGGGGCCUCCGCUGGUGAUCAGACUUGCUUUGUGAGCUGGUGGGGGUCGCAGAGGCCAGGGGGAAGCGACUGUUUACUAAAAACACAGGUCCGUGCGAAGUCGUAAGACGAUGUAUACGGACUGACGCCUGCCCGGUGCUGGAACGUUAAGGGGACCGGUUAGCGCAUCUUCGGGUGUGCGAGGCUGAGAACUUAAGCGCCAGUAAACGGCGGUGGUAACUAUAACCAUCCUAAGGUAGCGAAAUUCCUUGUCGGGUAAGUUCCGACCUGCACGAAUGGCGUAACGACUUCCCCGCUGUCUCAACCGCAGACCCGGCGAAAUUGCACUACGAGUAAAGAUGCUCGUUACGCGCAGCAGGACGGAAAGACCCCGGGACCUUCACUACAGCUUGACAUUGGCGUUUGGAACGUCUUGUGUAGGAUAGGUGGGAGACUGUGAAGCUGUCACGCUAGUGGUGGUGGAGUCAUUGGUGAAAUACCACUCUGGUCGUUUUGAACGUCUAACUUCGGUCCGUGAUCCGGAUCAGGGACAGUGUCUGGUGGGUAGUUUAACUGGGGCGGUUGCCUCCUAAAGAGUAACGGAGGCGCCCAAAGGUUCCCUCAGCCUGGUUGGUAAUCAGGUGUCGAGUGUAAGUGCACAAGGGAGCUUGACUGUGAGACCGACGGGUCGAGCAGGAGCGAAAGCUGGGACUAGUGAUCCGGCGGUGGCAUGUGGAAGCGCCGUCGCUCAACGGCUAAAAGGUACCCCGGGGAUAACAGGCUGAUCUUCCCCAAGAGUCCAUAUCGACGGGAUGGUUUGGCACCUCGAUGUCGGCUCGUCGCAUCCUGGGGCUGGAGUAGGUCCCAAGGGUUGGGCUGUUCGCCCAUUAAAGCGGUACGCGAGCUGGGUUUAGAACGUCGCGAGACAGUUCGGUCCCUAUCCGCUGCGCGCGCAGGAGACUUGAAAGGAGCUGUCCCUAGUACGAGAGGACCGGGACGGACGAACCUCUGGUGUGCCAGUUGUUCCGCCAGGAGCAUGGCUGGUUGGCUACGUUCGGAAGGGAUAACCGCUGAAAGCAUCUAAGCGGGAAGCUCGCCUUGAGAUGAGGUCUCCCACCACGAGAGUGGGUAAGGCCCCCGGGAGACGACCGGGUUGAUAGGCCGGAGGUGGAAGCAUGGUAACGUGUGGAGCUGACCGGUACUAAUAGGCCGAGGACUUGACCAC